rnacentral:rRNA from 1 species
AGAGUUUGAUCAUGGCUCAGAAUCAACGCUGGCGGCGCGCUUAACACAUGCAAGUCGAACGAGAAAGUGGAGCAAUCCAUGAGUACAGUGGCGUACGGGUGAGUAACACGUGGGUAAUCUACCUCUUAGUGGGGAAUAACUUUGGGAAACCGAAGCUAAUACCGCAUAAGCUCGAGAGAGGAAAGCAGCAAUGCGCUGAGAGAGGAGCCCGCGGCCGAUUAGCUAGUUGGCAGGGUAAAAGCCUACCAAGGCAGAGAUCGGUAGCCGGCCUGAGAGGGCACACGGCCACACUGGCACUGAAACACGGGCCAGACUCCUACGGGAGGCAGCAGUGGGGAAUCUUGCACAAUGGGGGCAACCCUGAUGCAGCGACGCCGCGUGAGCGAUGAAGCCCUUCGGGGUGUAGAGCUCUUUCGUCAGGGAAGAUAGUGACGGUACCUGGAGAAGCAGCUGCGGCUAACUACGUGCCAGCAGCCGCGGUAAUACGUAGGCAGCGAGCGUUGUUCGGAGUUACUGGGCGUAAAGGGUGUGUAGGCGGUUGUUUAAGUUUGGUGUGAAAUCUCCCGGCUCAACUGGGAGGAUGCGCCGAAUACUGAGCGACUAGAGUGCGGGAGAGGAAAGUGGAAUUCCUGGUGUAGCGGUGAAAUGCGUAGAUAUCAGGAGGAACACCGGUGGUGUAGACGGCUUUCUGGACCGUAACUGACGCUGAGACACGAAAGCGUGGGUAGCAAACAGGAUUAGAUACCCUAGUAGUCC